rnacentral:sRNA from 1 species
CGUCGUGACCUGCCGAAUCCAUGCAGCCAUGAGGCAUGGAACCGGGGAACCAAAGGCAUGCUCCCAUUGCCAGGGGUGAAUCGGCACGCCGUUGUGCCGUAGGGCGUCUUCCCUGCCCGAAUCCGUCAGCUAACCCGGUAGGCAUCAGUGGAAGUCCCA